UUCGGACCCUGCCAGCCUGUAAGUUACGGAGAUUGCUUGCCCCUUUUUGACUGUUGUGCUUCUGGACUGGAUUUGGAUUUGGUUUUGGAUCUGGAUCUGGACCUGGACCCGUUCUCUGGAUUCUCCCUUGGAUACCUCUGCUGGAUAAAACGGAUCUCCCCCCUGCCCAAGACCCGGACUGGACCUGGAUAAAGAAUUGGAUAACCCUUUCACGGACCCUGCUGCUUCCUGUAAACCAGACGCUGCUAAACCAGUCGUCCUCGUGCCCCAGGAACCGCCAGAGGCUGUGUGCUGCCGCACAAACCAGGGGGGUCCGCGCCGCCACCAUCUUUAAUAAACUGUUAAAGUUUUA